UACGUAGGGUGCAAGCGUUUGUCCGGAAUUAUUGGGCGUAAGAGCUCGUAGGCGGUCUGUCGCGUCUGCUGUGAAAACCUGGGGCUUAACCCCGGGCCUGCAGUGGGUACGGGCAGACUAGAGUGCGGUAGGGGAGACUGGAAUUCCUGGUGUAGCGGUGAAAUGCGCAGAUAUCAGGAGGAACACCGGUGGCGAAGGCGGGUCUCUGGGCCGACACUGACGCUGAGGAGCGAAAGCCAGGGGAGCAAACGGG
rnacentral:rRNA from 1 species